ACACGUAAGCCUCGAGCGUUGUUCGGAAUUAUUGGGCGUAAAGGGCAUGUAGGCGGAAUUGCAAGCUUGAUGUGAAAGGCAGGGGCUUAACUCCUGGAUUGCGUUGAGAACUGCAUAACUAGAGUAACUGAGGGGCAGCCGGAAUUCCAGGUGUAGGGGUGAAAUCUGUAGAUAUCUGGAAGAACACCAAUGGCGAAGGCAGGCUACCAGCAGAUUACUGACGCUGAGGUGCGAAGGUAUGGGGAGC
rnacentral:rRNA from 1 species